AUUCAAAUUUUCCCGCCAUAUAACACUUAGUGAUGACGGACAAAAUAUCGGCCAUAUUGUUACCUUGAUUUAACACGGCGUUAGCACUUCUUAUAUAUUUAGUAUUCUGUGGUUAUUACCUCGGACCGCUCGGACAUGUCUGAACCGUUCGUUUAUUACAUCCAGAUUGAGGGGAAUACACAUCUGGAGCGUUCGGCAAAUAUAUCUGAGCAAUCGGAUGUCGAUCUUUUUCAUCGGACGGUUUCGACCUAGCAAAACGAUUUUAUCCACAGAGUUUACCUUUGUCUAUGGAUUAUUGGAUUUUAUCUGUCUUUGAUGUUUGUUUAUUUAUACAAAUAACAUUUCGUCGUAGUUUGUAUUGAAAAAUUCAAAUACCUAACUUGUUAUACUUCUUUAAUUGGAUUUUAAAUAAAAUUAUGGUUAUGGAAUGCAGAUAACAAAUGAAUAGGCAGUGUGUAUAUUUUUGGAAUGAGAUAUCUGGUGGUGACUUUGGACAAUAUCAUUAGUAAGACUUUGGGGACAGAUAAUUUUUUCGUGUAAUUAUAUAAAGCGUUGUGCAUGUUCAGUUUAUUCAGAAGAGCGAUGGACAUUCAAGCUAUGGAUAUGAAGAAAAAGGCCAAGCUUUUAAAAAAGCUGACCAUGUGUACAAUAUAUGAAGUGGACUGGUUUCAUUACUUCUAAAUAAAUGAGACAGACUUCAGUGAAUUUUCCACCUUAUUAUAUCGAAAUUAUGUAAUAGAUGAAGCAGAAGAAAUUUACUCCUUCAAGGGUAUCGACUGGGACGUCAGUGUCCCAGAAGUAUUUUAUAAAUGUCCUGUUCGCCAAUAAAUAUACCCAGCAUGGAAUCAAUUGGGAAUAUAAAGCCAGAUCAGUGUAUUCAAGGUACUAUAUCUAUAUUUGUGUCAGCAAAUAGUUAUAUUAUAGAAUAAUUAUCAUACGAAAGUUUAAGAGAAAAAAAUACCAUAUUCAGGAAAAGGACUUGAAGUUUGUCAGUUGGACCCGAAGCUUGUUUCUUUUCUGAAUGGUGUUAUUUUCAAGAAUGGGGAGUCAGUGAAAUUAUUGGAAAUAAAAUGUCUAUUCAUUGGUCAAAUUAUUUCUGCUGAAAAUACUGAGCACCAUUGCCAAUAUUUGAGAAGAGGAAAAGCCAGCUAAUUUGAAAGAAUGAAUAAAUAUUAUGCUAGAGUGAUUAAGUAUGGCAAUUAUGAAUUUGAAAAAUUGCGACUCUAUAGUGUUCUCAUCUGGUGAUAAGACGUUCAAAACUGUUAGUGAGCCAUUUGAUGAAGAAUUCACAAAAAAAUAAUUCUUAAAACUUGAAAUGAUUUAUUUUAAAAAUAUGCUUUACACAUUGUGUAGCAUAAAAGUUUAAAUUCUUCAAUUAGAAAGAUAUUUUUCCAAGCUUUAAUUAUGCUGUAAUAAGACCAUCCAGUAUAAGAAAAGUUCCGAAUCAUACAUGUCUGAAGUUAUACAGGUUAUAACUUCCAGACUAUUGAAAAAUUUGAGUCCAGUUGUUAUUAGUAAGAGAGUAAAGGAUUUGCUAUUGGAUCAUACAAUAUACAGGUUGAGUGAUUUAUUUGCCAUACUUAAUCAGACUCUAGCAUAAUGUUUAUUCAUUCUUUCAAAUUAGCUGGCUUUUCCUCUUCUCAAAUAUUGGCAAUGGUGCUCAGUAUUUUCAGCAGAAAUAAUUUGACCUGAAAUUAUAAACAAUUAUAAAAAUAAUCUCUAUAACUUACUAGAAACUUACCAAUGAAUAGACAUUUGAUUUCCAAUAAUUUCACUGACUCCCCAUUCUUGAAAAUAACACCAUUCGGAAAAGAAACAAGCCUCGGGUCCAACUGACAAACUUCAAGUCCUUUUCCCGAAUAUGGUAUUUUUUCUCUUAAACUUUCGUAUGAUAAUAAACCAUUAGCUGACACAAACAUAGAUAUAGUACCUUGAAUACACUGAUCUGCAUUAUAUUCCCAAUUAAUUCCAUGCUGGGUAUAUUUAUUGCCGAACAGGACAUUUAUAAAAUACUUCUGGGACACUGAUGUCCCGAUACCCUUGAAGGAGUAAAUUUCUUCUGCUUCAUUCAUUACAUAAUUUCAAUAUAAUAAGGUGGAAAAUUCACUGAAGUCUGUCUCAUUUAUUUAGAAGUAAUGAAACCAGUCCACUUCAUAUAUUGUAAACAUGGUCAGCUUUUUUAAAAGCUUGGCCUUUUUCUUCAUAUCCCUAGCUUGAAUGUCCAUCGCUCUUCUGAAUAAACUGAACAUGCACAACGCUUUAUAUAAUUCAACGAAAAAAUUAUCUGUCCCCAAAGUCUUACUAAUGAUAUUGUCCAAAGUCACCACCAGAUAUCUCAUUCCAAAAAUAUAUACACUGCCUAUCCAUUUGUUAUCUGCAUUCCAUCUGGAUGUAAUAAACGAACGGUUCAGACAAGUCCGAGCGGUCCGAGAAGAGCGAUGGACAUUCAAGCUAGGGAUAUGAAGAAAAAGGUCAAGCUUUUAAAAAAGCUGACCAUGUUCACAAUAUAUGAAGCGGACUGGUUUCAUUACUUCUAAAUAAAUGAGACAGACUUCAGUGAAUUUUCCGCCUAAUUAUAUCGAAAUUAUGUAAGUGAAGCAGAAGAAAUUUAAUCCUUCAAGGGUAUCGACUGGGACAUCAGCAAGUCCCAGAAGUAUUUUAUAAAGGUCCUGUUCGGCCAUAAAUAUACCCAGCAUGGAAUUAAUUGGGAAUAUAAAGCCAGAUCAGUGUAUUCAAGUUUCAGAGAAAAAAUACCAUAUUCGGGAAAAGGACUUGAAGUUUGUCAGUUGGACCCGAGGCUUGUUUCUUUUCUGAAUGGUGUUAUUUUCAAGAAUGGGGAGUAAGUGAAAUUAUUGGAAAUCAAAUGUCUAUUCAUUGGUCAAACUAUUUCUGCUGAAAAUACUGAGCACCAUUGCCAAUAUUUGAGAAGAGGAAAAGCCAGCUAAUUUGGAAGAAUGAAUAAACAUUAUGCUAGAGACUGAUUAAGUAUGGCAAUUAUGAAUUUGAAAGAUUGCUACUAGUGUUCUCAUCUGGUGAUAAGACGUUCAAAACUGUUAGUGAGCCAUUUGAUGAAGAAUUCACAAAAAAAUAAUUCUUAAAACUUGAAAUGAUUUAUUUUAAAAAUAUGCUUUACACAUUGUGAUAGCAGAUAGCAUGAAAGUUUAAAUUUUUUAAUUAGAAAGAUAUUUUUCCAAGCCUUAAUUGUGCUGUAAUAAUCCAUCCAGAAUAAGAAAAGUUCCGAAUCAUACAUGUAUGAAGUUAUACAUGUUAUAACUUCCAGAUUAUUGAAAAAUUUGGGUCCAGUUGUAAUUAGUAAGAGAGUAAAGGAUUUGCUAUUGGAUCAUUCAAUAUACAGGUUGAGCGAUUUAUUUAGGAAUAAUUUUUGUAAAUAUUAUUUGAUAAUUUGUAACUACAAACAUAUUUAUGUUUUCAUUACAAUGACUAUUAAUACUAUUCAUUUAUAGUUUAAGAUUUUUUGAUUGACAAGCCAUGUAAACUUUUGAUGGCGUUUGUUCUUAUGGAUUUCUUGUGUGCAAAUAAAUUAUUAUUAUUAUCAAAUACUGCAUUGAUUUUACAUAUCAUUUAUUUAUCCUAUGGCAGUAAGUUAUCCCAUCACAC